GAUCAUGGCUCAGGACGAACGCUGGCGGCGCGCCUAACACAUGCAAGUCGAACGGAAGUGUUCAAUCGGAAGUUUUCGGAUGGAAGAGUGGACAGUUUAGUGGCGAACGGGUGAGUAACGCGUGAGUAACCUGCCCUUCAGAGGGGGACAACAGUUGGAAACGACUGCUAAUACCGCAUAAGCCCACGGUACCACAUGGUACAGUGAGAAAAGGAGAAAUCCGCUGAAAGAUGGACUCGCGU
rnacentral:rRNA from 1 species